GGGCGAGUAGCUCAGUUGGUCAGAGCGCACGGCUCACAUCCGUGAGGUUCGUAGGUUCGAGUCCUAUCUCGCCCACCA
rnacentral:tRNA from 1 species